ensembl:lncRNA
AUGGGGCGGGGGGUGGUUCUUUCAGAGGCUGGGAGUGCCUGCUCACUGCCUCUUCCUGGUGCACUGCUUGGAGUUAGAACUUCUGAGGAAAAGAGCCUGGUGGUCUCUCUUCCCCCUUGUGGAAUAUCCUUGAAGCAGCCUUUCACUUGCAUGUUGCCCCAGGUGCCCUUGGCUGUAGAAGUUUCUUCCUCCUUUCUCAGAAGAGAAAGAUCUUUCAUCUGGAACAGUGAGGGUGGCCUUUGGCAGCACAGAGAGGGGAGAAUGGACAACACAGUACAUCACAAUGGGACACGGGCGACCUGCCUCCACUCCCUCUGCUCGGAACUUCCGCAGAAGCAGCAGGACAAUGAAGGGAGAGGAAAGAUAUAG